rnacentral:rRNA from 1 species
GAAGUAUCUUGGUAUGUAAACCUCUUUUCUCAAGAAAGAAGUUCUGACGGUACUUGAGGAAUAAGCAUCGGCUAACUCCGUGCCAGCAGCCGCGGUAAUACGGAGGAUCCAAGCGUUAUCCGGAAUCAUUGGGUUUAAAGGGUCCGUAGGUGGAUAGAUAAGUCAGAGGUGAAAUCCUGCAGCUCAACUGUAGAAUUGCCUUUGAUACUGUUUAUCUUGAGUCAUUAUGAAGUGGUUAGAAUGUGUAGUGUAGCGGUGAAAUGCAUAGAUAUUACAUAGAAUACCGAUUGCGAAGGCAGAUCACUAAUAAUGUACUGACACUGAUGGACGAAAGCGUGGGGAGCGAACAGGAUUAGAUACCCUGGUAGUCCACGCCCUAAAC